AUGGCGUGUGCUCGUCCACUGAUAUCAGUGUACUCUGAAAAGGGGGAGUCAUCUGGCAAAAAUGUCACUUUGCCUGCUGUGUUCAAGGCUCCCAUUCGACCCGAUAUUGUUAACUUCGUUCACACCAACUUGCGCAAAAACAACAGACAGCCCUAUGCUGUCAGUGAAUUAGCAGGUCAUCAAACCAGUGCUGAGUCUUGGGGUACUGGCAGAGCUGUGGCUCGAAUUCCCAGGGUUCGAGGUGGCGGAACUCACCGUUCUGGUCAGGGUGCUUUUGGAAAUAUGUGUCGUGGAGGCCGCAUGUUUGCACCAACCAAGACCUGGCGACGUUGGCACCGCAGAGUGAAUACAACGCAGAAGCGAUACGCCAUCUGCUCUGCACUGGCUGCCUCAGCCUUACCGGCGCUGGUCAUGUCUAAAGGUCAUCGUAUAGAGGAAGUUCCUGAACUUCCUUUGGUGGUGGAAGAUAACUACAACCUCCCCAUGCACAAGAUGCUCAAUACAGACCUUAGCAGAAUCUUGAAAAGCCCAGAAAUCCAAAGAGCACUCCGAGCACCACGCAAGAAGAUUCAUCGCAGAGUCCUGAAGAAGAAUCCACUGAAAAACCUGAGAAUCAUGUUGAAGCUUAACCCGUACGCAAAGACCAUGCGCCGGAACACCAUUCUUCGGCAGGCCAGGAAUCACAAAAUCCGCAUGGAUAAGGCAGCAGCAGCACUAGAAGCCAAAUCAGAUCAGAAGGGGGUUCAGGGCAAGAAGCCUGUGGUGGGAAACAAAGAAGCCCACAGAAAAGAAACCCACCUCAGAGGAAAAGAAGGCUGCUGCAUAAACUUAAAUUUGUUUUUUCCAUAAAUGCCAAAUCAUUUUGGACAGCUAAUUUUGAAUAAAGACCUGAACAAAGAGGCA
rnacentral:lncRNA from 1 species